UCCGCCCGUCCGCGUGCCA
rnacentral:misc_RNA from 1 species